AUUGAACGCUGGCGGCAUGCUUUACACAUGCAAGUCGAACGGUAACAGGCCGCAAGGUGCUGACGAGUGGCGAACGGGUGAGUAAUGCAUCGGAACGUGCCCAGUCGUGGGGGAUAACGCAGCGAAAGCUGUGCUAAUACCGCAUACGAUCUAUGGAUGAAAGCGGGGGACCGUAAGGCCUCGCGCGAUUGGAGCGGCCGAUGUCAGAUUAGGUAGUUGGUGGGGUAAAGGCCCACCAAGCCAACGAUCUGUAGCUGGUCUGAGAGGACGACCAGCCACACUGGGACUGAGACACGGCCCAGACUCCUACGGGAGGCAGCAGUGGGGAAUUUUGGACAAUAGGCGCAAGCCUGAUCCAGCAAUGCCGCGUGCAGGAAGAAGGCCUUCGGGUUGUAAACUGCUUUGUACGGAACGAAAAGGACGUCUGGUUAAUACCUGGGGCUCAUGACGGUACCGUAAGAAUAAGCACCGGCUAACUACGUGCCAGCAGCCGCGGUAAU
rnacentral:rRNA from 1 species